UAGGGAAUCUUCGGCAAUGGGGGCAACCCUGACCGAGCAACGCCGCGUGAGUGAAGAAGGUUUUCGGAUCGUAAAGCUCUGUUGUAAGAGAAGAACGAGUGUGAGAGUGGAAAGUUCACACUGUGACGGUAACUUACCAGAAAGGGACGGCUAACUACGUGCCAGCAGCCGCGGUAAUACGUAGGUCCCGAGCGUUAUCCGGAUUUAUUGGGCGUAAAGCGAGCGCAGGCGGUUAGAUAAGUCUGAAGUUAAAGGCUGUGGCUUAACCAUAGUACGCUUUGGAAACUGUUUAACUUGAGUGCAGAAGGGGAGAGUGGAAUUCCAUGUGUAGCGGUGAAAUGCGUAGAUAUAUGGAGGAACACCGGUGGCGAAAGCGGCUCUCUGGUCUGUAACUGACGCUGAGGCUCGAAAGCGUGGGGAGCAAACAGGAUUAGAUACCCCGGUAGUCCACGCCGUAACGAUGAGUGCUAGGUGUUGGGUCCUUUCCGGGACUCAGUGCCGCAGCUAACGCAUUAAGCACUCCGCCUGGGGAGUACGACCGCAAGGUU
rnacentral:rRNA from 1 species